rnacentral:misc_RNA from 1 species
AACGCACAUUGCGCCCGUUGGUAUUCCGACGGGCACGCCUGUCCGAGCGUCAUUGCAACAAUCACGCCUCGCGUGGUGUUGGGGGCCGGUCGCAUCGACCCCCCCGGAACCCGUUGGCGGUGGCUCAUCUCCCCGAUCGUCGCGUCCGUUACGAGCGAGCGGUGGGCCUCCAGCCGAACCUUUUUGACACCUCAGUUUGACCUCGGAUCAGGUAGGGAUACCCGCUGAACUUAA